AGACUGCCAAAUGGAACAGACAAGCAGGUUGUCUUGUGUUAAAGAAAAUGAGAUAUAAGUCAGUUACUCCCGGAGGCAAUGCUGCUGUUCAGCUCUUCUGUUUUUGUGGCCAGGGUCUUCAUGAACACUAAUAGGGGUACCAGGCCCUCUUCCUCGUUAGAAGAAAUCAGGAUAACAAAGGCAUAUUGGGCACCCCUACAAAAGGGUAAGUCCAAGGAAGGCUCCAAAACCCAGAUAAGUUUGCACAUCUAAAUUGGGGAACUUUUGUAACCGAGGGUUGUUUGUAGCAGCUAAAUUAUUUAGGUUCUCUGUGCUCAUUGAGAUAUGGGAGGGGAUAUGUGAAGAGGAAUUUGGUGCUUUGCUGAUACUAAUGCCCUGCUUGUCUAAUGGUUCUAGGGGAUUUUGAAUAAGUUCCUUGUGAGAACUGGGUAGCUGUGUAAUCACGGCUGAAAGGGUCUCUGGAGGUGAGGACUGCACACUCUAGAGUUCAUCCCAACACAGCUCCCUCUGUUCUCAUACGCCACUGGAAUGCUGACCACAAAAUGGUGUCUUAGCUAGAGCAGUUUGAAUACUGGUACAAUAGGCAUAAC
rnacentral:lncRNA from 10 species